rnacentral:rRNA from 1 species
CACGUAGGGCGCAAGCGUUGUCCGGAAUUAUUGGGCGUAAAGAGCUCGUAGGCGGUCUGUUGCGUCCGCUGUGAAAACUCGGGGCUUAACCCCGAGCCUGCAGUGGAUACGGGCAGACUAGAGGUAGGUAGGGGAGAAUGGAAUUCCCGGUGUAGCGGUGAAAUGCGUAGAUAUCGGGAGGAAUACCAGUGGCGAAGGCGGCUUCCUGGCCUGUUCUUGACGCUGAGUGAGCGAAAGCCAGGGGAGCAAACGGG